AGAGGGGUGCGAGCGUUAAUCGGGAAUUACUGGGCGUAAAGGGUGCGUAGGUGGUCAUCCAAGUCAGAUGUGAAAUCCCAAGGCUCAACCUUGGAAUUGCAUUUGAAACUGGUUGACUAGAGUAUGGUAGAGGGAAGUGGAAUUUCCGGUGUAGCGGUGAAAUGCGUAGAUAUCGGAAGGAACACCAGUGGCGAAGGCGGCUUCCUGGACCGAAACUGACACUGAGGCACGAAAGCGUGGGGAGCAAACAGGAUUAGAUACCCUGGUAGUCCACGCUGUAAACGAUGAGAACUAGAUGUUAGGGUGCUUGGCACCUUGGUAUCGCAGCUAACGCAUUAAGUUCUCCGCCUGGGGAGUACGGCCGCAAGGUUA
rnacentral:rRNA from 1 species